rnacentral:tRNA from 1 species
UCUAAUAUGGCAGAUAAGUGCAGUAGAUUUAAGCUCUACAUAUAAAGAAGAUACUUUUAUUAGAA